GACGAACGCUGGCGGCGUGCUUAACACAUGCAAGUCGAACGGAGUGGCGAACGGGUGAGUAACAAGUGGGUGACCUGCCCUGCACUUCGGGAUAAGCCUGGGAAACUGGGUCUAAUACCGGAGAGUGUGGGAUGGGCCCGCGGCCUAUCCGCUUGUUGGUGGGGUAAUGGCCUACCAAGGCGGCGACGGGUAGCCGGCCUGAGAGGGUGGACGGCCACAUUGCGACUGAGACACGGCCCAGACUUCUACGGGAGGCAGCAGUGGGGAAUAUUGCACCAUGGGCGGAAGCCUGAUGCAGCGACGUCGCGUGGGGGAUGACGGCCUUCGGGUUGUAAACUCCUUUCACCAUCGACGCGGUAGAGGGAGAAGAAGCACCGGCUAACUACGUGCGAGCAGCCGCGGUAAUUC
rnacentral:rRNA from 1 species